AGUAACGCGUGGGUAACCUGCCUUAUACAGGGGGAUAAAAGUCAGAAAUGGCUGCUAAUACCGCAUAAGCGCACAGAGCUGCAUGGCUCGGUGUGAAAAACUCCGGUGGUAUAAGAUGGACCCGCGUUGGAUUAGCUUGUUGGUGGGGUAACGGCCCACCAAGGCGACGAUCCAUAGCCGGCCUGAGAGGGUGAACGGCCACAUUGGGACUGAGACACGGCCCAG
rnacentral:rRNA from 1 species